rnacentral:misc_RNA from 1 species
CAGAGAACAUCGCCUGUAUAGGUGACUCUCCAACCCUAUGUUAUGUAUACCCUUUGUUGCUUUGGCGAGCCGCUGCCGGCCACCGGCUCACGCUGGUGAGUGCUCGCCAGAGGACCCUCAACUCUGUUUAUAUAUGUCGGUCUGAGUACUAUAUAAUAGUUA